ensembl:misc_RNA
CUGCCAGCCCUGGAGAAUGAAACUCCCUGCUUAUCCACAGAGCUGGAACAUCACAGGCAGCAGCAGUGUGAGCUUCCCCCACACUUCCCAGUCAGUGCGCUUGAGCCAUGACCUGAAGUGACCGCCCCUUGGGCCAGUGGCUAUUUCAGUCUGUGCAGCCCAUUCAGUGGUCUCU